rnacentral:tRNA from 1 species
UGCUGGGUCAUCUAACGGUAGGAUAGUGGACUCUGAAUCCACUCAUCUUGGUUCGAAUCCAAGCCCAGCAGCCA